rnacentral:rRNA from 1 species
CGAACGGGUGAGUAACGCGUAGGUAACCUGCCUUGUAGCGGGGGAUAACUAUUGGAAACGAUAGCUAAUACCGCAUAACAAUGGAUGACACAUGUCAUUUAUUUGAAAGGGGCAAUUGCUCCACUACAAGAUGGACCUGCGUUGUAUUAGCUAGUAGGUGAGGUAAUGGCUCACCUAGGCGACGAUACAUAGCCGACCUGAGAGGGUGAUCGGCCACACUGGGACUGAGACACGGCCCAGACUCCUACGGGAGGCAGCAGUAGGGAAUCUUCGGCAAUGGGGGCAACCCUGACCGAGCAACGCCGCGUGAGUGAAGAAGGUUUUCGGAUCGUAAAGCUCUGUUGUAAGUCAAGAACGGGUGUGAGAGUGGAAAGUUCACACUGUGACGGUAGCUUACCAGAAAGGGACGGCUAACUACGUGCCAGCAGCCGCGGUAAUACGUAGGUCCCGAGCGUUGUCCGGAUUUAUUGGGCGUAAAGCGAGCGCAGGCGGUUUGAUAAGUCUGAAGUUAAAGGCUGUGGCUCAACCAUAGUUCGCUUUGGAAACUGUCAAACUUGAGUGCAGAAGGGGAGAGUGGAAUUCCAUGUGUAGCGGUGAAAUGCGUAGAUAUAUGGAGGAACACCGGUGGCGAAAGCGGCUCUCUGGUCUGUAACUGACGCUGAGGCUCGAAAGCGUGGGGAGCGAACAGGAUUAGAUACCCUGGUAGUCCACGCCGUAAACGAUGAGUGCUAGGUGUUGGAUCCUUUCCGGGAUUCAGUGCCGCAGCUAACGCAUUAAGCACUCCGCCUGGGGAGUACGACCGCAAGGUUGAAACUCAAAGGAAUUGACGGGGGCCCGCACAAGCGGUGGAGCAUGUGGUUUAAUUCGAAGCAACGCGAAGAACCUUACCAGGUCUUGACAUCCCGAUGCUAUUUCUAGAGAUAGAAAGUUACUUCGGUACAUCGGUGACAGGUGGUGCAUGGUUGUCGUCAGCUCGUGUCGUGAGAUGUUGGGUUAAGUCCCGCAACGAGCGCAACCCCUAUUGUUAGUUGCCAUCAUUCAGUUGGGCACUCUAGCGAGACUGCCGGUAAUAAACCGGAGGAAGGUGGGGAUGACGUCAAAUCAUCAUGCCCCUUAUGACCUGGGCUACACACGUGCUACAAUGGUUGGUACAACGAGUUGCGAGUCGGUGACGGCGAGCUAAUCUCUUAAAGCCAAUCUCAGUUCGGAUUGUAGGCUGCAACUCGCCUACAUGAAGUCGGAAUCGCUAGUAAUCGCGGAUCAGCACGCCGCGGUGAAUACGUUCCCGGGCCUUGUACACACCGCCCGUCACACCA